GUGGAUUAGAUACCCUAGUAGUCCACGCCCUAAACGAUGUCAACUAGGUGUUGGGUGGGUAAAACCAUUUAGUACCGGAGCUAACGCGUGAAGUUGACCGCCUGGGGAGUACGGCCGCAAGGUUAAAACUCAAAGGAAUUGACGGGGACCCGCACAAGCGGUGGAUGAUGUGGAUUAAUUCGAUGCAACGCGAAAAACCUUACCUACCCUUGACAUGUCCGGAACCUUGCUGAGAGGUGAGGGUGCCCGAAAGGGAACCGGAACACAGGUGCUGCACGGCUGUCGACAGCU
rnacentral:rRNA from 1 species